rnacentral:rRNA from 1 species
UACGUAGGGGGCAAGCGUUGUCCGGAUUUAUUGGGCGUAAAGAGCGUGUAGGCGGCCAUACAGGUCAGCUGUGAAAACUCGAGGCUCAACCUCGAGACGUCGGUUGAAACCGUAUGGCUAGAGUCCGGAAGAGGAGAGUGGAAUUCCCGGUGUAGCGGUGAAAUGCGCAGAUAUCGGGAAGAACACCCGUGGCGAAGGCGGCUCUCUGGGACGGUACUGACGCUGAGACGCGAAAGCAUGGGGGAGCGAACAGG